UCUCUGAUCCAUCAAGUGCCUUCGCAUAGAAAACCCACAAACGCUUUGCGAAGCGCCUGGGUGGCCGACAUUUCGGGACUUACGCGUUUUCGCGGCCAUCUUAACUUCUGAACAGCGGUGUUUUGCCAUCGAGUGUCUGGAACUAAAAUCGGACACUCGAGUAGGCGAACACCGCUGAGACCUCCAUAGCACCGGGAAAUUGUGCUAGAACUACCGAACAAC